CAGUCGCCGCGGUAAAACGUAGGUGGCAAGCGUUGUCCGGAAUUAUUGGGCGUAAAGGGCUCGCAGGCGGUUUCUUAAGACUGAUGUGAAAGCCCCCGGCUCAACCGGGGAGGGUCAUUGGAAACUGGGAAACUUGAGUGCAGAAGAGGAGAGUGGAACUCUACGUGUAGCGGUGAAAUGCGUAGAGAUGUGGAGGAACACCAGUGGCGAAGGCGACUCUCUGGUCUGUAACUGACGCUGAGGAGCGAAAACGUGGGGAGCGAACAGGAUUAGAUACCCGCGUAGUCCCUGUCUCUUAUAC
rnacentral:rRNA from 1 species